rnacentral:rRNA from 1 species
GACGAACGCUGGCGGCGUGCUUAACACAUGCAAGUCGAACGGAAAGGCCCUGCUUUUGUGGGGUGCUCGAGUGGCGAACGGGUGAGUAACACGUGAGUAACCUGCCCUUGACUUUGGAAUAACUUCAGGAAACUGGGGCUAAUACCGGAUAGGAGCUCCUGCUGCAUGGUGGGGGUUGGAAAGUUUCGGCGGUUGGGGAUGGACUCGCGGCUUAUCAGCUUGUUGGUGGGGUAGUGGCUUACCAAGGCUUUGACGGGUAGCCGGCCUGAGAGGGUGACCGGCCACAUUGGGACUGAGAUACGGCCCAGACUCCUACGGGAGGCAGCAGUGGGGAAUAUUGCACAAUGAGCGGAAGCCUGAUGCAGCAACGCCGCGUGCGGGAUGACGGCCUUCGGGUUGUAAACCGCUUUCGCCUGUGACGAAGCGUGAGUGACGGUAAUGGGUAAAGAAGCACCGGCUAACUACGUG